GACGAACGCUGGCGGCGUGCUUAACACAUGCAAGUCGAACGAUGAUGCCCAGCUUGCUGGGUGGAUUAGUGGCGAACGGGUGAGUAACACGUGAGUAACCUGCCCCUGACUCUGGGAUAAGCGUUGGAAACGACGUCUAAUACUGGAUAUGACUGCCGGCCGCAUGGUCUGGUGGUGGAAAGAUUUUCUGGUUGGGGAUGGACUCGCGGCCUAUCAGCUUGUUGGUGAGGUAAUGGCUCACCAAGGCGACGACGGGUAGCCGGCCUGAGAGGGUGACCGGCCACACUGGGACUGAGACACGGCCCAGACUCCUACGGGAGGCAGCAGUGGGGAAUAUUGCACAAUGGGCGAAAGCCUGAUGCAGCAACGCCGCGUGAGGGAUGACGGCCUUUGGGUUGUAAACCUCUUUUAGUAGGGAAGAAGCGAAAGUGACGGUACCUGCAGAAAAAGCACCGGCUAACUACGUGCCAGCAGCCGCAGUAA
rnacentral:rRNA from 1 species